UACGGAGGGUGCAAGCGUUAUCCGGAUUCACUGGGUUUAAAGGGUGUGUAGGCGGGCUAUUAAGUCAGUGGUGAAAUCUCAGGGCUCAACCCUGAAACUGCCAUUGAUACUAUUAGUCUUGAAUAUCGUUGAGGUUGGCGGAAUAUAUCAUGUAGCGGUGAAAUGCAUAGAUAUGAUAUAGAACACCGAUUGCGAAGGCAGCUAACUAAGCGAUGAUUGACGCUGAGGCACGAAAGCGUGGGGAUCAAACAGGAUUAGAUACCCUGGUAGUCCACGCCCUAAACUAUGAUUACUCGACAUACGCGAUACACAGUGUGUGUCUGAGCGAAAGCAUUAAGUAAUCCACCUGGGAAGUACGUCCGCAAGGAUGAA
rnacentral:rRNA from 1 species